AUUGAACGCUGGCGGCAGGCCUAACACAUGCAAGUCGAACGAGUGGCGGACGGGUGAGUAAUGUAUGGGAAACUUCCUGAUGGAGGGGGAUAACUACUGGAAACGGUAGCUCAUACCGCAUACCCUACGAUGUGGCCAGCUGGGCUUCGCUAGUUGGUGGGGUAACGGCUCACCAAGGCGACGAUCCCUCGCUGGUCUGAGAGGAUGACCAGCCACACUGGAACUGAGACACGGUCCAGACUCCUACGGGAGGCAGCAGUGGGGAAUAUUUGACAAUGGGCGCAAGCCUGAUGCAGCCAUGCCGCGUGUAUGAAGAAGGCCUUCGGGUCGUAAAGUACUGUCAGCGGGGAGGCGUUACCUGCAGAAGAAGCACCGGCUAACUCCGUGCCAGCAGCCGCGGUAAUAC
rnacentral:rRNA from 1 species